AAUAUCUCUCUCUGGAUCGAGGGGUUUAAGCUGGGUUUUUUUUUUUUGUUGCCCUAGAAUUUGGCGCCUUUCUACUUCGAUUUGCGUUUCUUGGUACCUCCGUAAGCCAUAAAUUUUUUUCUCUCCCAAUUUUACUCUAUUCGUUAGGCUUUCCCAUUGAGUUCCUUCGCUAGUGUUUGCCGGAGUUUGUCUGGUCCUUCCUCAUAGUUGAUUCUGCUGCUCCGGGGGGUUUUUACAUUGGGGAAGUCUUCUUCUCCGGUACCGAGGUGAGAACUCCGUAUGGAAUCAGCUAACCAGUUUUGGUCUUAAAGGAAUGCGCAUUUCGUUGAGUUGAUUCAAGAAAUGGUUCUACAUGUUACGCUGUGUAAAGUUGUAAUAAAGGUUGAAUAUGACCAAUGGAGGAGGGGAGGGUGGAAGUCAGCGGAGAGAAUUACACGGGAAAAGAAGUGUUUUUCGUGGCAAUGAUUUUGCAUAUGCUCUCGCUAGAAUGGCCGUGGCGCAGAUAUGUGAGAGCGUUGAGAUGAAUAGUUAUCAGGAAUCACAGACGCGCGAAGGUGUGAGAUUCAGUUCUUUUCAAGAGACUGCUCUUGAAACAUUAACUGAUGUAGUGAUCCAGUACAUCCAGAACGUUGGCAAGACUGCACAGUUCUAUGCUAAUAUGGCUGGUAGAGUAGAAGGUAAUGCUCUUGACAUUGUUCAAGCACUAGAGGAUCUGGGAUCUGGACUGGGUUUCGACGGUGCUCAUGAUGUUGAGCAUUGUCUCGCUGAUUCUGGUGUAGUCAAGGAUAUUAUUCGUUAUACUGGAGAAGCGGAGGAAAUGCCUUUCGUUUAUUCCCUUCCCCCUUUCCCUUUUAAUAGAGGAAAAAGACCAGCUCCUAGCUUUUUCGAGAUCGGAGCAGAGCCACCAGAUGAGCAUAUUCCGGUUUGGCUUCCGGCAUUUCCUGAAACCAAGAUGUCUAACGGGUCAGAAGAGACUAAUGUUGACAAAAUAGAAGGGGAUGUGGGAAGUAGAGAAAAUGGACCCUCUUUGACGAGUAUGCAGCAGUCUGUUGACGUUGAUAGGGUAAAGAUUCUGAAAUCCAUGGAUCAAAAGGAAGUUCAGAAACCAACAGAGGAACCCGAAGGUAACCCAUUUCUUGCUGCACCACUUUGGGCUGGAGAGAAGAACGUGGCACGUGUGUUUUUCCCGUCAGAGCUUAGAAAGGAAGAAAUUAGCAUUAACCAUGUCCCUGAGAAAAGUAUGAGCAAGAGCUAUCACAUUCCAGCACUUGAAGCAUAUCCUCCAUCUGAUAAAAUCAACGAGAAGAACAGAUUAGCUGAAACCCAAGAUGGAGACGAAAGAAACGGUACAAGAACACAACGAGGUUUGCUUCGUUUCAAGAUUGAGACUCGAAAAGCCUCUCUGUGUUGGAAAAGAAAUCAGUGCUUAGAUGAAAAGGGUUGGUUUCAGGAGGAUGGAGACAGGAGGGAGAAGAAGGUAGAGCGGGAAGAAAAGCCAGAAAGUGUUGACACAGAUGUAAAAUAGGUUUUAAUGGAGAGGACAUUGCAAGCAAAGACUAAAGAGAGAAGAGAGAGAGAGAAAGAGAAUGUUACCUGAAGGCAGAGACUUGAGCUCAUCUCCGGUGACGGCAACACGUCUCGGUGGAUAAUGUUGGCGAGGAAGUAGAAGACGGAGAAGAAGAAGAAGAGACAGGAGGAGGACAAAGAAGAACCCAGCAUUAAGACAAAGGUAAAGCUACUUGUGAAGUUAUGACCAGACAAGGAAUUAGGUUUCUCUGUAUCUGUUAUCUUGGAGGGUUCCUUGAAGAAGAAAGAAGAGAAGAAGAAAAAGAAAAGAAAAGAAAGAUAAAAAAGAAGUUUGUUUGUGGUCUUUGAGAGAAGUGAGUCCUGUAAAAAGGCAAAGAGCUCUCUGUCUACAAUUAUAUGUAGAAGCUUUUCAAAAGCAUAUAUAAACAUCGGUUAUGUAAUAAUGCUCAAUGUACGUAGGCACACACAUACACAUGCGUGUACACAUGUAUUCGUGUGUAUCCGUAUAGAUUUAUACAUGUAAGAGAAUGUAAAUGAUUUUAUUUUAA